UAACGAAUAUUCCACAAUGGACGCAAGUCUGAUGGAGCAAUGCCGCGUGUGGGAUGAAGCAUCUAGGUGUGUAAACCACUGUCAGGAGCUAGGAACACAAUGACCAGCUCCAAAGGAAGGACCGGCUAACUUCGUGCCAGCAGCCGCGGUAAUACGAAGGGUCCGAGCGUUGCGCGGAAUCACUGGGCUUAAAGCGUGCGCAGGCGGAUAUGCAAGUAUCUUGUGAAAUCCCACGGCUCAACCGUGGAACUGCUUGGUAUACUGUGUAUCUUGAGGUCGGUAGGGGCCAUCGGAACGAUAGGUGGAGCGGUGAAAUGCGUAGAUAUCUAUCGGAACGCCUAAGGCGAAGGCAGAUGGCUGGGCCGAUUCUGACGCUCAUGCACGAAAGCGUGGGGAGCGAACGGGAUUAGAUACCCCCGUAGUCC
rnacentral:rRNA from 1 species